AUAGCAGACAAACACAAGCAUAGUUGAUGGAAUCCAAAUCCAAAGCAUCCUUCAACCUUGCUUUGAAUCUCAUUCUCUUACUUCUGAAUUUGCCACUGAGAGUAGUUCUUAGUGUUGAUGAAUACAGCAUAAAUGACUUCCCACUUGAUUUUGUCUUUGGUUCUGGGACAACUGCAUAUCAGUGGGAAGGAGCUGUUAAUGAAGAUGGAAGAACACCUAGUGUUUGGGAUACCUUUGCCCAUGAUGGUGACAUGCAUGAAGAAAAUGGAGAUGUAGCCUGUGAUGGAUACCACAAAUAUAAGGAAGAUGUGAAGCUGAUGGUGGAAACAGGCCUUGAAGCCUAUAGAUUCUCCAUUUCUUGGUCAAGAUUGAUUCCAAAUGGUAGAGGACCUAUCAAUCCCAAGGCAUUAGAGUUCUACAACAAUCUUAUCAAUGAAUUGAUCAGCAAUGGUUUCAUAUGAAUUUCUUAAUUUGUAGAACCAUACUUUGAAAAUUACUUCCAGAACAGAACAAAGUUGCAGUCAGCACUUGAAGAUGAAUAUGGAGGAUGGAUUAGUCCUCAAAUGAUAAGCGACUUCACAAAUUAUGCAGAUGUGUGUUUUAGAGAGUUUGGUGAUAGAGUAUUGUAUUGGAUCACUGUGAAUGAGCCAAAUAUGAUUGCUCUAGGUGGUUAUGAUCAAGCAAUCGUACCACCUCAGCAUUGUUCUCCUCCAUUUUGUGUUAACAAAAGCAUCAGGGGAAACUCAACAACUGAGCCUUACUUGGUAGUUCAUCACAUUUUGUUAGCACAUUCUUCAGCUGUAAGAUUGUAUAGGACAAAAUAUAAGGACAAACAACAUGGAUUUGUUGGUAUCACUAUCUACAUAUUUGGGCUUUUCCCUCAUACAAAUACAGAAAAAGACAGAACAGCAACUGAAAGAUAUCGAGAUUUUACUGUUGGUUGGAUUAUGGAGCCAUUGUUGCAUGGAGACUAUCCCAUUUCCAUGAGAGAAACUGCUGGUGCAAGAAUUCCAUCCUUCACGAAUCGCGAAUCUGAACAGGUUAAGGGUUCAUGUGAUUUCAUAGGUUUAAUUCACUACACCAAUGCUAAUAUCACAGAUAAUAGUGAAGCACUGAAGAACAAUCUGAGAGAUUACACAGCAGAUAUAGCUGCAAAACUAAUCUCUGGACUGAAUCCAUUUUCAAAUGAAGAGUACCCCGUCGCACCGUGGGGUUUACAGGAAGAAUUGAAUAAAUUCAAGCUCCGCUAUGGCAAUCUUCCUAUAUUCAUAUAUGAAAAUGGUCAAAGAACACCAAGCAAUGCAUCAUUACAAGAUGAGUCAAGGGUCAAAUACUUGCAUGGAUAUAUUGGUGCCACACUUGAUGCCUUGAGGCUGUCUGAUCCUGAGAUCAUCAACAUGAUGCGAGGAAAGAAGGUUGACCAGAAGCUGCUUCAAAGGCUGGAGAACAUUCUGAAUGUGGUUGAAGCUGUGCUGAAUGAUGCUGAGAAGAAACAGAUCACUGACCCUGCUGUCAAGAGGUGGCUUGAAAAUCUCCAAGAUGCUGUCUAUGAUGCUGAUGACUUGCUGGAUGAAGUCACCACCAAAGCUGCCACCCAGAAGGAUCCACCAGGUAACUUCCUAUCUCGCUUUCUGAAUUUGCAAGAUAGGGAGAUGGUUACUAGGAUUGAAGAAAUCAUUGCUAGACUAGAAGAUAUUGCAAAACACAAAGAUAUCCUUCGUCUAGAAAAGAUUGCACCCAAGAACAUGUCCGGGAGGAUUCCAUCAACCUCUUUGGUUAAAAAAUCUGAUAUAUUUGUUGGCAGGGAAAAAGAGAGGGAUACCAUAGUGAAAUUGUUGUUAGAUGAUAGUAACAAUGGUGAACUGUCUGUGAUUCCCAUCGUGGGCAUGGGUGGGAUAGGAAAAACUACCUUGGCUAAAUUGGUUUAUAAUGAUGAAAAAGUGCAGCAAAAAUUUCAUGUCAAGGCUUGGGUUUGUGUUGGGGAGGAAUUUGAUGUUCUUAUGGUGACAAAGGCCGUGAUAGAGAAAACUUGUAGUCCUUGUAACUCAAAUGAUUUAGAUACAGUUCAAAAUCAUUUGAAGAAUGCGCUAGUGGGGAAGAACUUCUUGGUUGUUCUGGAUGAUGUAUGGAGUAGUAAUCGUGAGGGUUGGGAAAGUUUUCUAAUUCCUUUUGAAUGUGGAAGUGAAGGUGGGAAGAUUCUUGUGACAAGCCGUCUUGAUACAGUUGCUUCUAUGGUGAAAACUAAACAUAAUGAAGCUCACAAUUUGAGUCUGUUGGAUGAAGAAGAAUGCUGGUUAGUGUUUGCAAAUCGUGCAUGGGAUCCUGCUGAGUCCCAAGGCUGUUCAGCUUUAGUAGAAAUUGGUAGAAAAAUUGUAGAAAAAUGUAAAGGAUUACCUUUGGCAGCUCAAACCCUUGGAGGGUUAUUGCGAGGGGAAGAUAGUGAAAAGGUUUGGAAUGAUGUUUUAAAUAGUGAAAUUUGGGAAUUUUCUGAGGAGAAAUGCGGGGUUCUUCCAGCAUUGUGGAUUAGUUAUUACCACCUUCCUUCAUAUUUAAAACGUUGUUUUGUUUAUUGUUCUUUGUAUCCGAAGGACUUUGAAUUUGAUAGACAUAAUUUGAUGCUAUUGUGGAUGGCAGAGGGUCUUUUGCAGCUACCAAAAAGUGGAAGCACUUUAGAAGAAGUUGGUUAUGGAUAUUUUGAUGAUUUGGUUUUGAGAUCCUUUUUUCAACAUGCUAACUCUAAUGAGAAUUCAUUUGUGAUGCAUGAUCUCAUGCAUGAUUUAGCAACAUUCUAUGGUGGAAAGUUCUUUUCUAGAGCCUUCGGACUCAAGAAUGCGGCCAAACAUGAUGCCAAAACUCGUCAUUUGUCAUAUGAUCUCAUCGACGAGGAUUCAAUCCCAAAGAUAUGGGAAGCAUGUUGUAGUUUAAAACAUGCAAGGACAUUGUUGAAAACCAGUUUGAGUGCAUAUGAAACAUUCCCAGAUGAAAGAAUUGAUUCUAGUCACUUACUAGAGCAAUUAAAGUGCUUGCGAGUUUUGUCAUUUAAAUUCUUUUGUUAUGAGGGAGACUUGUUGCAUGAUUCAAUUGGUGAAUUGAUCCAUUUGCGUUAUUUGGAUCUCUCUGGCCAACCUGUCAUGAUGUUGCCUGAAUCAUUGAGUAAUUUGUACAAUUUACAAACGUUGAAGUUGAGAGAUUGCAGUAACCUUAAAAAACUUCCCAUCAACGUGCAAGAUCUUGUAAAUUUGCGCCAUCUUGAUGUUCAUGGCACUGAUUUGGAAGAUAUGCCAAAGGGGAUGAACAAGUUAAAAGAUUUGCAGUUUUUAAGUGACUAUGUUGUGGGGAAGAAUGAAGAGAAUGGGAUUGGAGAAUUGGGAGAGCUAGCAAAUCUUCAUGGGACAUUUUAUAUCCAGAAAUUAGAGAAUGUAAUCAGUAGUGUUGCAGCCUCGGAUGCAAGGAUGGAUGAGAAGAUUCACCUCAAUGAUUUAUCUUUGAAGUGGUCAUCAGGUGAAGAUAGUGAUAUUGAUGAUUCCCAAGUUGAAAAGGAUGUACUUGACAAAUUAAGGCCUCACAAAGGCCUAAAAAAGCUAAAGAUCGAGGGGUUCAGGGGUACGAUGCUUCCGGAUUGGGUAGCGCACUCUUUCUACAACAACAUGACUUUCUUGGAGCUGAGGGGAUGCAAGAAUUGUUGGAUGGUUCCUUCUCUUGGACAGUUACCCUCUCUAAUGGAAUUGAGGCUUGAUGGAUUUGAUAUGGUGAAGAUCAUUGGUGCUGAGUUUUAUAAGAGUGACAGAACUCAUCAUCAUCAUCAUCAGCAGACACCCUUUAGAUCCCUUAAAUAUCUGUUUAUUUCUCAUAUGCGUUGGUGGGAGGCAUGGGAGUCAUUAGAAUGUGAUGAUGCACCAUUUCCUCAACUUAAGCAACUUAGCAUAUGGGAGUGUCCUAAGUUAAGAGGUGAUUUGCCUGCUUUCCUUCCGUCUUUGAAAUCACUAUACAUUGAAGAUUGUGAGCAGCUUGGUUGUUAUCUGCCAAGAGCUUCCAUCAUAAGGGAACUAAGAAUAUAUGGCAAACAGGAAGCAAGAAUGCAGGACCUACCACUUUCACUGCAACAACUAUCAAUUGAAGGAAACCAGCUUGUGGAGUCUGUUUUUGAGGCCAUGACCCGCACCCAACCAACCUCUAUCACAGGGUUAUGGAUCUCAAACUGCUCAUCAGCCAUAUCAUUUCCAGGGAAUUCUUUGCCUUCUUCAUUGAAAGAGCUGGGGAUCAUGAAUUGCAAGAAUAUGGAGUUCCCAAUGCAACAACAGCAUCAUCAUGAGUCACUAGUUAAAUUAACAAUAGAAAACAGUUGUGUUUCACUUACAUCCAUGGUGUUGGAAGCUUUCCCGAAUCUGACAUCUAUCACAAUCAAAAGAUGUGAAAAUUUGAGAUCUCUUGAGGUGGUGCCACAGUCACAGUCCCUCGAAAUAUUAUCAAUUGAAGGCUGCCCUAAGAUGGAGAACAUAGCAGGGGAAAGGCUUCCUGCCUCUUUAAGGUUUCUCUUCAUCCGUGAAUGUCCACUGUUGGGUGAAAGCAUAAAGAGGAAGGACCUCUGCAUUUGGCCUACUAUUUCCCACCUCAACCACAUUUGCGUUGAUGGGAGACAGAUUUCAUGAUGACUCAACAUCUUAAAACAGAUUAUGUCAUUUGGUGGGAAAAAAAGAGAGACGAUUUUCACAAUGACAAGCCUCAACACAUUCAUUGGGUUCUCUAUUAUGGUACUGCAAAGCAAACAUCAAGAUAAAACUCUUUCAGCAUGUUGGUUCUACAAGGCAAAACAAUAUCAAUGGACUAAGCAUGCUUUAAGAAAGAUCUUAAGAUCUUUCAAGUUUUGGAUGUAGUAAUUCUUUGCUGGUUGAGUACAUCGACAAGGAGCUAUACAUAUAUAGUUGAAAGCUGGACCACUCUUAGAGCAUGGUUAAAGUUGGUUAUUUGGAGCAAGUAAUGCUGAAAGCUAGGCUGAGUAGCUGAUAUGGUGAUCUCAAAAUAAUGUUGCUCAACUCAAGGAAGAAAUGAAUUCUGAGGCAUGUCUUUUGACAACAGAUGAAUCGAAGCAAAGUUGGAUUAAGCCUAAUUAGGAGACCAAAGGAAUCUGGGCAAGAAUGAUGGAGGAAAAUCGAAUCCCAAACAAAUCAGAUGAGGUGCAGUCUCUGCAUCAAUGCAAAGGAAGAAUUCAUGGAAGACAUCAUCCUCGUACAAAAUUAAAAGAAGAAAUGGAUGAUGAAAAACAUAAUUUUUCAAGGACAGAUAGACCAAUCAAAAUGCAACAAGAAUACCUUCAAUGAUAUGGAUACAGUUGGAGCAACCUGUCAAAAAUAGGCAGAAAGCUUACAAACUUUUCAAAGUAAAAAAGGAAGGACAAACUUAGUUUUAUAUUUUUAUUUACACUGAACAAUUAUCUUUUUUUUUCUUAAGAGUUUUCAUGCCUUCAUCGUUUCAUUCUAUUUUAGGAGAGCUGAUAUGAGUUAUACUGUUUAUACGAAAGAGAGAGCUUAGAAAGUGAGAAUCAAUUUCUGUUAUGAAAAAGGCAAGAGAGCCAGGAUGUGAGAAUAUCUAGAAAAAGCUAUAGUGCCGUUUGAGAAAUUUGUUUUUUGUAUUGGCUUGAAUUGGUAUUUGUAACAUGAAUUUGUUUAUAGUGAAAAAUUCUACCAUUUAUUAUGGUGGAGACUAGAUGUAGAUCCCACUUUGGGAUUAAACCAGGAUACAUCGUGUUGUUCAUCUUCUCUAUUACAAUUUUCAUUCACAAUAUUGUUAUAACUGUCAUCUGCAUAUGUUUUCUGCAAAUCAUGCGAUCAUUUUAUAAAAUCACCUUUUAAUCAUUCAAAUCUGCAUCCCUAUUCCAUUUUCUAUGUCUAACAGUAUAGUGCUGCAGGUUAGUAUAUAAGCAUUAGUGUUAUUAAUUUAUUGACAUAAUUAAAUUUGAAAAUGAGAGGGAAGAAUGUCAUCAUCAAAUAGUAAAAUCAGAAUGUGUUUACUGUGUAUGGUGUUCACUUUUCUGUAAAAGAAAAAAGGCAUGAGUGUUUGUAUGUGAGUGAGAGCAUCUAGCAAAAGCCUUAAGAGAGUCUGAGUGACUUGUAAUCUUGACAAUUUGAAUUCUGAAUCCGUUUAGUGAAAAUCCCACCAUUUUCUAUGGUGGGAACUGGAUCUAGAUUCUACAUUAUUGGAUUCGAACCAGGAUA